UCGGAGAAGACGGGGCACGACCACUGUGACGUCACAUCCCUUAAUAAUUAUAUUUUUACACUAUACACGUUUCACAACUAUAAUUUGAACACCUGUGUACCAUAAAUAAAUAUAUUUUUACACUAUACACAAGUGAAUCAUGUUGUGUCAUUUACAUGACGGGUAAAUUAAAUGAACAUGUCUUGAUUAGGUAUGACAUACUUUGGACAAGGAAGAGACCUGCAGAUAAAUAACACAAUUAAACAAACAAGUACUGAAAUAUAAGUGUUCCGCAUUAAGCUUGCUAGUAAGGAAAUUAUCAGGAGAUGGCUUGCUAGCUUUCACCUCUAGAUCACCCCCAUGGCAACUUGAUACAUCAGAGCAAGAAAACAUUCCCCAAUGGUUACAAACCUUCGGUGCAAAAUGACAUUCAUGGGAUCUGAAGGCAUCACUAAGAAAUAUCAGGUUCUAUAUGAGUCUGACUUAUUAAAGAACAAAGAGCAAUGAAGAAAAGUGCAGUACAUUAAAUCAAGGCCAAAUGAUACAUUGCAUGCAUCAGCGAGCAGAAAAAUAAAUGGUGUCUAAUAUUAUAUUUUCCCCUUCCAAUAGAGAGACUCCUUCUACAUGUUUAACCAGUGAUUAAUUCCGGUUACACCAAAUAAACAUAGUUCUAAAUGCUACCAACAUUUUUUAUGAAACAAAGGACAACCAAAAUUAACUCCCCUCGCGUGGAAACUUGAUGUCCUUUCAACUCUGAAAUUCCACCAAAGGUAAGCAUACAAUAAUUUUAUAGUGUAUAAUUAUACAAAAGAAGAACAUGUUACGUGUGUAGAUAGCGCAAGGUGGCAUAUUAUCAUUGAGAGCAUAUAUUAGCACAUAGUGUGAUGAAAAUUGGAACCAUAUGUACUGUCAGCAUGUCUUUCUCCUUAUUCUGUAUAUCAUCAUUUCCUCUACACUUGACAUGAUAGCUUGAGAAAAAAAAGAUGAGUAUCCAGAUAUGUACAUAGUUAUGGCUAGAUUCCUUGUUUUGUCCAAGAAAGAUAAGUCAUGAGCCCAUCAUCUUAUUACAGCAAGGCACAUCUCUAUCAGUGGUGCAAGAGGUGUAAAUUUUAUAUUUUCUUUUCAAGAAAAAACCCCUGGCAAUAUUAAACAUCAUGAUGUAACAAAUUACAAAUAUUAGUGUUAACAUAGGUUAAUAUCUAUUACUUAUGUGUGGUGCAGUUCAAUAAACCAUGAAAAAAAUUUGAAUUAUUCCUAACUAUCACCAUCAGAUCUAGGUCAAUAAAAGUUGUAGUCACAGCCUGAGCCAGAACUUUGGAUUGAGAAGGGAUUGGGAAACCCUCAAAGGAAGGAAGAAGCUCACCAAAACACAGUUACAGGCCCCAACUAUCUCAACCUUGCGCACAAAACGGCUUAAUGACUCAUAUGGGAUCAACAAGAGUGCCAGUCGCGUAAAGCUUGUUCAGAUUGCCAAGGCCGUCCACUUGAGAGCAAGACAAAAACUUAAAAUUAGGAGUCCGAAUGUGGUUAGACAAGCUAUACUAAUUUCAUUUUGAUUUUGAUCCGACAUGUGCAUUAAACAGAGCAUGGACCACGAUUGAACAGAGCAACCGCUGCAAAAUAAAUGUAUAACAAGAGCUGGCAGCAUCAACAUGUAAUAGGCAUGUAUAUUUAUCUACGGGUUUUGUCGCUAGUGAACGCAUACAGUUGCAAUUGCACUUAUGCAACCUAAAGGCGAAAGAAAAAAACCACUUGUUAACCCAAAAGACUGAAAAAGUCGUAACAAAAGAAGAAAAAAAAUAGCCUUCCUAAGUUCUCUAGUUGGGUGAAAAAAACCAGCUAUUCUAAAAGUGAGCACCAGAUUCCAGUAUGUAUCAUGCAGUUUUCUGUAUAUGGUUCACACAUGAAAAAGGGAUUUUGGCCAGUGCUAGGACAUGGCAUUUGUUGCCUGAUAAAAGAUUAGUUCAUGCUAUCUUCGGGACAAAGUGAGCACGUGAGUUACCAGACGAGAAGGGGAGGCCAUGAGUAAAGGUGGACUGAAACUUCUUGCUCGCUUGGAGCUUCAUGAAU
rnacentral:lncRNA from 1 species